CUUCAGCGAGCCCAGCCACAGCGGACGGUCCGCGGGCCGUUCCUGCCCAUAGGUGGCCAGCAACGCCUGCGCCUC
rnacentral:antisense_RNA from 1 species